AUUACAAAUGUCUGGGAUGUCCAAUCGGGCCCCCAAGCAAACACAUCCAUGUGUACACUCCCAUGUUGCUUCCCCAGAUCAGUGGCCACUGCUGCCAGCCCACCCCCUCAAUUGGGGUCCUGGGUUGAGGUGUCUGGGGAAGGGCCCAAUAACAAACCUUUGAACCAAUUAGUUGUCUGAGUAGNNNNNNNGCCGCAAUCUUUAAAACAUGUUAAAACUUUCAACAACGGAUCUCUUGGCUCUCGCAUCGAUGAAGAACGCAGCGAAAUGCGAUAAGUAAUGUGAAUUGCAGAAUUCAGUGAAUCAUCGAAUCUUUGAACGCACAUUGCGCCCUUUGGUAUUCCUUAGGGCAUGCCUGUUCGAGCGUCACUAAAAACCCCCUCACAGAUAAUGUGGUAUUGGUAGAAGUGAACGGUACUUACAUUACCUUGUCUCACUCUGCUGAAAUGAAUAGGCCAGAGAAGUGGACCCAUGGUAAUUGACUCCAGGAGUGUUUUUCAAUGCUAAACUAGUCUUUACCCAAGUCAAAUUCUGAGCUACCGGA
rnacentral:rRNA from 1 species